AGUGCGUUCAAUUGCCCGAGAAGCCAACUCACCUCCUCCGGCGGCAGCUCCUCUCGACAUGGAUCCUGAGACCUGCCCCUGCCCUACUGGCGGCUCCUGCACCUGCGCUGACUCCUGCAAGUGUGAGGGAUGCAAAUGCACCUCCUGCAAGAAAAGCUGCUGCUCCUGCUGCCCCGCAGAGUGUGAGAAAUGCGCCAAGGAUUGUGUGUGUAAAGGCGGAGAGGGCACCGAAGCUGAGGAGAAG